rnacentral:rRNA from 1 species
AUGGUGUAUAGCAAAAUCCCAAUAGACACACACAAGCUGAAGCCAGUGGAAGACUGCAAGCACUGCUAUGCAAAGAAGUUUGAGCGUGAGACCAUGUGGUUUUGCUGCCGUAAGGGGAAGAUCAAACUAGCCAACCCGGAUACGCCUCCUGAGCUCAUGAAGCUAUGGACGAGUGACGACCCUGCUGCUAGGCAUUUUCGUGACAACAUCAGGUUUUUCAAUAGCCAUUUCUCAUUCACCUCACUAUGUUGUCACCUUGAUAGUGAUACCACUAACACAUUAAAGCAUCCUAUCUACACAUUCCGUGCCCAUGGCCAAAUGUACCACAACAUACAGUCAUUUGGCAAACAAGAUGGUUUGGAUCGUAGUCAUCUGGAGCUCUACUUCUAUGAUGAUGAUCCCAGUUUAGAGCAUAGGUAUCGUAGUUGUCGCAAAGAGUAGUGCCAGAAAGACAAAGAAGUAAUCACACAACUGGUCGACAUACUUCGUGGCAACCCAUACUCUGAACACCUCCGUAGUAUGGGGCAUGUUGAUGAUGUGGAUGACUAUCACAUAACACUAAACCUUGACCGAAGGAUGGAUCAGAGAAGAUAUAAUGCGCCGACCACUUCAGAAGUAGCAGCUGUGUGGGUGGAGCGCAGUGAACGUCGAAGACAGUUCGGUAAUAGUGUCAUCCUGCAUGGGAAGAAUAGAGAUAUAUAUGGAAUCAAGUCCUAUCAUGGAUGCUAUGAUGCGUUGUCGUACCGUCUAUUCUUCCCUAGAGGCGAACUUGGGUGGCAUACUGAUAUCCCGAAGGAAGGUGUGUCCUAUGAGACUAUGAUGGCAGCUCAUGCAGCCCGUCUAGCUCGUGGUCAUAGUGAUGAGUCCUCUAAUCCUGGUGAUAAAGAUGAUGAGGACGAGGAUGAUAAUGCAGGUUAG